GGGUUAGUAGGUUGGUCAUGCCACUGGUAUGAACUGGUUUUACUGAUUCCUCCCUCUUGAAGAACUGUAAUGCCAUUAAUUUGGUGUUGUAGGGAAUCAGGACUGUUACUUUGAAAAAAUUAGAGUGUUUAAAGCAGGCUUUAGCUUGAAUACAUUAGCAUGAAAUAAUGAAAUAGGACGUUUGAUCCUAUUUUGUUGGUUUCUAGGAUCAACGUA
rnacentral:rRNA from 1 species